rnacentral:rRNA from 1 species
AACGUAGGAGACAAACGUUAUCCGGAGUUACUGGGCGUAAAGGGCGUGUAGGUGGUUUCGUAAGUCUGGCGUGAAAUUUCUCGGCUUAACCGAGGCAGGUCGUCGGAUACUGCGGAACUUGAGGACGGUAGAGGCGUGUGGAAUUCCGGAUGUAGUGGUGAAAUGCGUAGAGAUCCGGAGGAACACCAGUGGCGAAGGCGACACGCUGGGCCGUACCUGACACUGAUGCGCGACAGCAUGGGGAGCAAACAGG